rnacentral:lncRNA from 1 species
AAGCUAGCUCGUUGGGUUUGUGAAGCUCCCUGUUUUGGUUCUUGCUAGGCAAAUGGAUACAGCUCAUUGGGCGAGUUUUGGGAGGGUUUUGACAGUAAGUUUCAGGGGUUGGACGAGUUUCCUCGUUGGGCUGGAAAGACUCCAUGUUUAUGCUUGCUGGGUGCCACGAUUUAGGAGUUGGGCGAGUGAGUUUGGGUUGCUUGGUUGUUUUAUUUUCUUUUUCUCUUCUUUGGUUGGAUUUAUAUAAUGUGAUGUUUUAUCUUAUACUCAGUGGUAUGGUUGUGAAUACAUUAUGGUAUGGAAUUGAGGUUUAAGGAUAAUUUUUCGUGGUUAUAUUAAGUGUAGUUGAUAUAAAUGUAAGAAUCUUCGAUAUCAGAGUUAUCUUGACACUCUAAUAAUCAUUCAUGCUCAAUUAGAGAGAGAUGAGUCGAGUCAUGUCGUGAGAGUAGUAGGAGAUCC